GGAAGAGAAAAUCGACGCACGCCGUAUUGUCAUCCAUAGAAUUCUAAACCGUACGAGCGUCUUUUAUCAAUUUUUUAUUUAUGCGAUGAUUGAUAAGGAUGAUCCAUAAUCCAUAAGUAUGCAUUUUAAGUAUGCGUUCAUUUGCACGGACUUAGCUUUGAAAACACGCUUUUAUGUAUUGUAGGGGACCACACCGGAGCGAAAAUUACCGACGAUAUUGCAGAAGUACAAUACCGCUGCGGGAAACUGCUGAUUGCUACAAUUUUACCGCCACCACGAAGAAAUAUAGGCAUACCUAUACAACUAUUCAGGUAGAUCCUAUUCAGAUUAAUAAGGGCCAAUAUCCUGAUCAACACGGGCCGAUUAAGAUAAACUUGAGGGAAUUGAACAUUUUAUCAUAUAGCCACUUAGCUAUAUACAGUGGUACAUCAAGAACAUAUGACGCCCAAGACUGAUAAAAAGUGGCGCCACUAGAUAUAAUAUGAUAUGUUAUGUCUACCAUUUCACAGUACAAAAAUUAAUAUGAUUACUAUUAUCAAAAUGGUAUAUUUUAUAAGUUUAAUAUCCUUUUAUACAAUAUUUCAUAUUUAAAUAAAAUUCAAAAAUUUUUUACUUGUUACUAAAUAUAAUAUUUAAAAUAUACAUGCAUAUAUUAAUGCAUGUAUUUUAAUAUUUUAAAAACGUAUUUCUCCAGUUUUUGUCGUAACCAACAUGUUUAUAGUAAUUGAUUUGUCGUGAAGUUAUGUACUCUAAUUUUCUAUAAGACAAAUUCAAACAUAAUAUAGUUAUAUAAUAGUAGUUUGUAAGUUCAUGUACAAUACAGUAUACAAUAAUUGAACUGUAACUAAAUGGUGAAUGUAUAGGUAAUAUUGUUUUUUUAUACAAUUAAAAAUAUAAAAUUUGGUAUUUUUAA